GUGGUCAUUAUAGUAAAAGAGUUGGGUUUCGGCUAUCUACGUUUUGGAGUCGGACCCGCGGCGUAUUAACUUGUUGGUGGGGUAACGGCCUACCAAGGUAAUGAUACGUAGCCGAACUGAGAGGUUGAUCGGCCACAUUGGGACUGAGACACGGCCCAAACUCCUACGGGAGGCAGCAGUAGGGAAUCUUCCACAAUGGGCGCAAGCCUGAUGGAGCAACGCCGCGUGAGUGAAGAAGGUCUUCGGAUCGUAAAACUCUGUUGUUAGAGAAGAACAUGCAGGAGAGUAACUGUUCUUGUAUUGACGGUAUCUAACCAGAAAGCCACGGCUAACUACGUGCC
rnacentral:rRNA from 1 species